rnacentral:tRNA from 1 species
GCUCGAGAAGCUCAAUUGGUAGGGCGAGGGUCUUGAAGCGAUCUAGGUUGUAAGUUCAACUCUUAUCUCGAGCAU